UAGAGACUCAAAGCCUGGUCUGGAGGACACACAAGCCACUCCACAGCUGAUUCAUACAAGAUUAAUAAGUAUUCAUCAUAUAUAGUGU